rnacentral:rRNA from 1 species
CUCUUCGAUGUUCUGGGCUGCACGCGCGCUACAGUGGCAAAGACAGAGAGCAUGAAUUAAUUAUAGAGUCGCAUCGAGGGAUGUGACGAAUCAGCAAUUGUCGUCGUGAUUGGGAUUGAGCGUUGUAAUAUUUGCUCAUGAAAGAGGAAUUCCUCGUAAGCGCGAGUCACUAACUCGUGUUAAUUACGUCUCUGCCCUUUGUACACACCGCCCGUCGCUACUACCGAUUGAACUGGUUUUUGAAGUGUAGAGAUUGGCAGGCAUGGUUUACGUGCAUUGCAAAGAACCACUCUGAAAAAAUCGUUCGAGAAGAAGUAAAAGUCGUAACA